rnacentral:lncRNA from 1 species
AGGGCAACCCUGGGAGAGCUGCUGCUGCCUCUGGGCCCCUGCCCUGCCUCCACAGGGCAAGGGGCUCCAGCCGCGAGGAGCUUUAGUGCCCACAUAAUUGCCCAUCUGUCAUUUUCUUUCUUAGGCUUUCUUCCUGUUGCCGUGGCAUACUUUGCGGUACUGGUCAUAGGCGCUGCAAUUUUGGCAGUUGCAAUGAAUCAGCCCAUGGAAGCCUCUGUGAAUGCCAAGGUUGCACAUGGUGGUCCUGGGGGGAAACAAAAGGCCGCCCCCCCAGGCUGCAGCCAAUACCUUGCUGAGAAGAAGAAGAAAGACUGAUUACCAUGGCCAGUGAACAGAAGGUGAUUUCCUUCCUUCCAAACAGCCUGCUUCAUGUCUUCCCGUAGCAUGAACUAGAAUGCCCUCACUGACCAGCAACUGUCCCUUUAACAGAUUUGGGUGGCCUUGAGCA